rnacentral:rRNA from 1 species
AUGGCCUUGGCUAGGGAGCGCCUCCUAGCCAGCCUAUCGGCUCUUGCGCUGAUGAUCGCCGCCUGGGCCUCUCCGGUUGCCGGUGGUCACCCGGCGGACCAGCUGCAGAUACUGUGGGGGCAGACGAAGGUGCUCAGCGACGGCAACGGCGACCAGACCAUCGCGCUGAUGCUGGACCACGCCAUGGGGUCGGCUUUCAAGUCCAAGACCUCCUACCUCUUUGCCCGGAUCGACGUGGACAUCAAGCUCAUCCCCAGGAACUCCGCCGGCACCGUCACCACCAUAUAUAUGAUCUCGGAGAAGGACUGGAAGACCCACGACGAGAUCGACCUCGAGUUCCUGGGCAACGCCACCGGCCAGCCCUACACCCUGCACACCAACAUCUUCGCCAACGGCGAGGGCGGCAGGGAGGUGCAGUACCGCCUCUGGUUCGACCCCACCAAGGACUUCCACACCUACUCCAUCGUCUGGAACACAGACGAGAUCCUGAUCCUGGUGGACGGCGUGCCGAUCCGGCAGUUCAAGAACCACUGGGACGCCGGGGUGCCCUUCCCGGUGUACCAGCCGAUGCGGCUGUUCGGGUGCCUGUGGGACGCAGACGACUGGGCCACGCAGGGCGGGCGCGUCAAGACCGACUGGUCGCAGGCGCCGUUCGUCGCCUACUUCCGGAACUACACCGCCUCCGGGUGCGCCCCGAGCGCCGGCGGCUCGUGGGCUUGCGGCCCGGACCCCUCCGGCUCCGGCGGCAGCAGCGGCUGGAUGGACCGGGCACGGGGAGGAGGGCGGCUGGACGACGACGUGAAGCAGCAGCAGCAGCUGAGGGAGGUGCAGGGCAAGUACAUGAUCUACAACUACUGCACCGACGAAAAGAGGUUCCCCAAUGGCUUCCCGAAGGAGUGUGGGCUCGCUUAG